rnacentral:rRNA from 1 species
GUGGGGAAUCUUCCGCAAUGGGCGAAAGCCUGACGGAGCAACGCCGCGUGAGUGAUGACGGCCUUCGGGUUGUAAAGCUCUGUUAUAUGGGACGAACGGGCAUGGGGCCAAUACCCUCAUGCAGUGACGGUACCGUAAGAGAAAGCCACGGCUAACUACGUGCCAGCAGCCGCGGUAAUACGUAGGUGGCAAGCGUUGUCCGGAAUUAUUGGGCGUAAAGGGCGUGUAGGCGGCCAGACAAGUCUGUCUUAAAAGUGCGGGGCUCAACCCCGUGAUGGGAUGGAAACUGUCGGGCUAGAGUGUCGGAGAGGAAAGCGGAAUUCCUAGUGUAGCGGUGAAAUGCGUAGAUAUUAGGAGGAACACCAGUGGCGAAAGCGGCUUUCUGGACGACAACUGACGCUGAGGCGCGAAAGCCAGGGGAGCAAACGGGAUUAGAUACCCGUGUAGUCC